AAGACUGUACUUUCAGGGAUUCAUUCUGUAGUUCGAGACUAGAGGGGUUUCUCAGAAUGUGCAGAGCACCCGAAACCACCAGGAGGGGGCGCAGUGUUCUCUCCUGAGUGUGACGCCGGCUUUUGCUGUUGCUUUUGCAACUACCAAUAGCCCUUGAUGAUAGCUCUUCUCUUCCUUUGGAAGGGGAAGAGGGAGAGAACACAGUCCGGGUGGU